GUGAAUCAUCGAAUUUUUGAACGCAAAUUGCACUCUCCUCUAUGAGGGUGCGUAUUUCAGUUUCAGCCUCUAUAAAAUCGACAUCGUUGCUGUUUCGCGGUGGCGUUCGUCGGAAAUUGGGGCAUCUUAUAUCUUUUUUUUUUAAGUGACUUAAAAUUUUCUUUUUGGUUACAUGAACGUUCCUAAGAUUGAUUUCUUUACACGUUUAAGGUAUCGAUUUUUAUUAGACGUGACCAUCAUAUCGGAUC
rnacentral:misc_RNA from 1 species